UGAAGGAUAACAGGUUCUUGAAUCCUAAGAGCUCCUAUGGAAGGAUUCUGACGGCACCUCCAUGUCGGCUCAUCU
rnacentral:rRNA from 1 species